GAUGAACGCUGGCUACAGGCUUAACACAUGCAAGUCGAGGGGAAACGACGGGGGAGCUUGCUUCUCCGGGUGUCGACCGGCGGACGGGUGAGUAACGCGUAUCCCUCCUGCCUCUGACUGAGGGUUAACCAGUCGAACGUAGGCCUAAUACCUCAUGGAAUCGUCUGCGUACAUUUAUCAACGCUUAAUGUUUUCAUAGGUAAGGGCUGGGGAUGGGGCGGAUUAGCUUGUUGGCGGGGUCACGGCCUACCUAGGCUACGAUCAGUAGGGGUUCUGAGAGGAAGGUCCCCCGCAUGGGAGCGGGGACACGGGCCAAACUCCUACGGGAGGCAGCAGUGAGGAGUAUUAGUCAAUGGGCGGGAGCCUGAACCAGCCAAGUAGCGUGCAGAGUGACGGUGCUAGGAGGUGUAAGCUGCUGGUAUGCGAGGAUAAAGUGAGGGACGUGGCCUUCAUUGACGGUACCGCAUGAAUAAGGACCGGCUAAUUCCGUG
rnacentral:rRNA from 1 species